rnacentral:rRNA from 1 species
CAGUCGCCGCGGUAAAACCAGCACCUCGAGUGGUCAGGAGGUUUAUUGGGCCUAAAGCAUCCGUAGCCGGUUGCAUAAGUUUUCGGUUAAAUCUAUGCGCUUAACGUAUAGGCCGCCGAAAAUACUGUGCAGCUAGGGAGUGGGAGAGGUACACGGUACUCGAUAGGAAGGGGUAAAAUCCUUUGAUCUAUUGAUGACCACCUGUGGCGAAGGCGGUGUACCAGAACACGUUCGACGGUGAGGGAUGAAAGCUGGGGGAGCAAACCGGAUUAGAGACCCGCGUAGUCCCUGUCUCUUAUAC